ACUGAUCGGGGUUAGGCUGGGCAUCGGUCAGCGAGUGCAGCUGGACUACAACAUGCCUUGUGCAAGAGGAGUGUCAAGACACAGGUUUCCCUGCUUGCAAGUGCCAGAUCCUGGUGAACAUCACCUAGGGUGGCCCAUCUGGCAGCCGUGCACAGAAGCUCUCUCCAAGAACCCAUAGAAACCAUGGGGAAUGUUUGAACCCAGUAGUGUCCCUUUCCUGUGGUUGGCAGAGUGAUUAAAGUCCCCCACAGUGACAUGGAGUCAUUGAACUCAACUUACUCCAGUGGCUUCCACAAGACUUUAACCACUUCUUCAGCCUGGCUGCAGACAUUUACCUCCUGACCCUGACUGGCUUUUGUCCCUAAACCAUAAGGGCUCCCCCAGUCUGCUGCCCAGUCCAUAGAAGAGAUCCAUGCAUCCAGACAAAUUCUUCAUGUGGAGCAACCUCUCGAUGAUCAUUCCCAAUUGUCUCUUCCGAAGACUCUGCACCAAUUCAGCACGAUCACGCUGUGCCCCUGACUGGCUCUCCUGUGACCUUCAUCCACAAGGGCUCCCCCAGCGUACUGCCAAUUCCAUGGACAGGACAAAGGAAGGAGACCCUGAGUCCAAGAGGCAUCAAAUGUCCAACAGCAGCUCCAUCACUGAGUUCCUCCUCCCGGCAUUCGCAGACACGUGGGAG